UACCCUGGUAGUCCACGCUGUAAACGAUGUCGAUUUGGAGUUUGGGGGCAUGACCCUUGGGCUCCGGAGCUAACGCGUUAAAUCGACCGCCUGGGGAGUACGGCCGCAAGGUUAAAACUCAAAUGAAUUGACGGGGGCCCGCACAAGCGGUGGAGCAUGUGGUUUAAUUCGAUGCAACGCGAAGAACCUUACCUGGUCUUGACAUCCAUAGAAUCUUUCAGAGAUGAGAGAGUGCCUUCGGGAGCUAUGAGACAGGUGCUGCAUGGCUGUCGUCAGCUCGUGUUGUGAAAUGUUGGGUUAAGUCCCGCAACGAGCGCAACCCCUAUCCUUUGUUGCCAGCACGUAAUGGUGGGAACUCAAAGGAGACUGCCGUUGAUAAAGCGGAGGAAGGUGGGGACGACGUCAAGUCAUCAUGGCCCUUACGACCAGGGCUACACACGUGCUACAAUGGCGUAUACAAAGGGAUGCGAAGGUGCGAACUGGAGCGGACCUCACAAAGUACGUCUAAGUCCGGAUUGGAGUCUGCAACUCGACUCCAUGAAGUCGGAAUCGCUAGUAAUCGUGAAUCAGAAUGUCACGGUGAAUACGUUCCCGGGCCUUGUACACACCGCCCGUCACACCAUGGGAGUGGGUUGCACCAGAAGUAGAUAGCUUAACCUUCGGGAGGGCGUUUACCACGGUGUGGUUCAUGACUGGGGUGAAGUCGUAACAAGGUAACCA
rnacentral:rRNA from 1 species